UUAAAAAGCUCGUAGUUGGAUUUCUGUCGGUGAGUGAAAGUCCGCUCUCAGUGGUUGGUACUUCUCACGCCAUUGGCAUCUUCUUGGGGAUUGUGUUUGCUCUUUGUUGAGUGGCGCAUAAUCCAGGACUUUUACUUUGAAGAAAUGAGAGUGUUUCAAGCAGGCCUACGCCGUGAAUACGUUAGCAUGGAAUAAUAGCAUCGGACCUCGUUCCAAAGCUGUUGGUUUCUUGGACCGAGGUAAAGGUGAAUAGGGAUUGUUGGGGGCAUUCGUAUUUAACUGUCAGAGGUGAAAUUCUUGGAUUUGUUGAAGACGGACUACUGCGAAAGCAUCUGCCAAAGAUGUUCUCAUUGAUCAAGAACGAAAGUUAGGUGAUCGAAGACGAUCAGAUAUCGUCCUAGUCUUAACCAUAAACUAUGCCGACUGGAGAUCGGGGGUCGUUAACUUUGUGACGCCCUCUGCAUCUUGAGAGAAAUCAAAGUCUUUGGGUUCCGGGGGGAGUAUGGUCGCAAGGCUGAAACUUAAAGGAAUUGACGGAAAGGCACCACCAGGAGUGGAGCCUGCGGCUUAAUUUGACUCAACACGGGGAAACUUACCAGGUCCAGACUUAGUAAGGAUUGACAGACUGAUAGCUCUUUCGAGAU
rnacentral:rRNA from 1 species